rnacentral:ncRNA from 1 species
CGAAAUACAAGGAUAAGAAAAGUAAGUGAUAUCGUGUCUUUAGAGAGCUUGUGGUAGGUGCAAACAAGUGGCAAUAUAUCAGUGAAAUGCCUCUUUGAGUAGGACUAGUGAAAUAAGUAGUUAGUCUCGUGUGAUAGACGUUACAUUAUCAAAAAGAUUCACUAAGUAAAGUGAAUGAAAAAAAGUGGAACCACGUGAGAGCGUCUUUUAA